GAGCAGGACUAGCACUCCUCUGUACUAACUCCUGUCCUGUCUAUCUGAUUCCUGUCUAAAAACAGAGAGAAGGGGUUACAGAGCAGCCUGCAGUGAAUGGAUGAAGAGACCCAGUGACUGCAUGAAACGUUAAAGAAGCGCUCUGCACGUUGUACUCUGCCUGCCCUGUCAGGUAGAUGUUGCCUCAUCUUGCCACAUGCUUGCCACAUCAGGUAAAAAAAAUUUGGUGACAGAUACUUCUUGGACUCUUGAAUCUAUCAAUAACAGUGUCAUCACGGAGCUGAGCCAUCUGCAUAGAUGAAAGUCUAUUUUAUCAGGACUCCACCCAAAAGGGAUGAAUGUUCUAAC